rnacentral:rRNA from 1 species
GACGAACGCUGGCGGCGUGCUUAACACAUGCAAGUCGAACGAAGUGGCGAACGGGUGAGUAACGCGUAAUCAACCUGCUCUUCCGAGGGGGACAACAGUUGGAAACGACUGCUAAUACCGCAUACUGAAGGAGGGGCUUGCGUGUGAUUAGCUAGUUGAAGGGGUAACGGCCAACCAAGGCGAUGAUCAGUAGCCGGUAUUAGAGGAUGAACGGCGACAUUGAGGCGGAGGCACGGCCCAGACUCCUACGAAGGGCAGCAAGAGGGAUACUUCCGCAAUGGACGAAAGUUUGACGGGGCAACGACGCGUGAGUGAGGACGGCCUUCGGGUUGUAAAGCUGUGUUUAUCAGAACACGGUAACGAAAUGGAAAGCAACGGCUAACUACGUGCCAGCAGCCGCGGUAAUUC